rnacentral:lncRNA from 1 species
UUAAAGGCAGUUUUAUAAAACCUCCCUUAAAUUUACAGAAUAAAGCAAAUACACAGGAGGAAAUAUACCACCAAGGAUUAAAGAAGCUCAUGUCAGGACCAGGGAGUUUGCAGUCACAUAGAGUGACUCCCAGGGAAAUCAAAACAACCAGUAACCAUGGUGAAAACAUGAGACACACCACAACUGAAGAACAUUUAGCAAAACAACUGAUCAUUGCUCUUCAAGAGUGUCAAUGUCAGGGAAGAGAAGGAAAGACUAAGGAACUAUUACAGACUGUGGCAGACUAGGAGGAAAUAACAACUAAAAUACAAGGUGGGAUUCUGAAUAUGAUAUGGAACCAGAAAAAAGUUAGUGGAAAAAAGGGUGGAAUUUGAAUAAGGUCUUUAGUUAAUAGUAUUUCCUCAUGUCAAUUCAUUUUGGUCUGUGCUCCGACACCUCAUCAUG